AACCAUCAGUCGAAAGCCAUAGCGUGAGCAUCACUUUUUGCAAAGACGUCGUGGAUAUCUACUAGCUAACGACUUUGGCAACCAUGAGCAACGGGGAGAAAGUUGUCAUCGUAGAGAAGAAAAACAAGACGAAUCAUUGUCUGCACUGCUGCAUUUCGAUUUUCCUCCCUUGUUGGAUUUGUGUUUGGAUCUACUUUUGCUGCACGAGUGACUGAAGACAAGAAACAGUCAACAUAUGUCGAUCAUCGUCUAAUACCACGUAGACUCUUCAAUAUUAGCCCUGCAUUUUGCCUAUAAUUAAUUAAUUAAUCAUGUGCUUCACUGGCAGUAUACGGUAUGUAGAGUUUGUUACGUUCUAGAGUGCAACAGUCAUCUAAUGACCACUGCAGUGUCGAUUGAUUCAGUGAUCUCGUUUUGUACCAACAAUGAAAAUUAUGCGUUGAGAUACAAGAGUUUUUUCGUCUAAAACAGUUGCCUAAGAACAGCUGCAUGUCGAAAUAGCGUUCGUAUUAUAAGCUAACGAAACA